CCCAGAGGCUUCUUUAACAGAAAAACAUGCAGCGACAGAGUGCUGAUGGACCUUGCGCUUAGCAACUGCUCGCCAGCUAUUCACAAAGUGUGAUGCCUAUUACGAAGCUCCCCUUGAAGCUCAGCUCAGUCAGGAAUUAACAGCAGUGGAGUCUGGUCGGGAUCAACUAAGCCUGGAGCGCAAGCAGGGCCUACGGCAGGUACAAAGGAUACUUCACUGACUUCAUCUGACCAGUGGAACAGGAAUCCCACAGAGCACUGCUUCCAGUUCACCUUGACCCAAG